CCCUUAGAUGUUCUGGGCUGCACGCGUGCUACACUGAUAUUGCCAAUAUGUCAUUCUUAUCCGAAAUGGAUUGGGUAAUCAAGUAAUGAAAUUUCAUGCUUGGAAUCGGUAAUUGCAAUUUUAUCGUGAACGAGGAAUUCCUAGUAAGCACUAGUCAUCAGCUAAUGUUGAUUAUGCCCCUGCCCUUUGUACACACCGCCCGUCGCUACUACUGAUUGGGUGUUCAAGUGAGAUGCUUAGACCCUUGUUGCAUGGUUCAUUAUUGUGCUCCGAAAGGAAAAAGUUUCAAGCUUGAGUGUCUAGAGGAAGUAAAAGUCGUAACA
rnacentral:rRNA from 1 species